rnacentral:rRNA from 1 species
GACCCCNCGGGGUGCAGCAGGCGCGAAAACUUGGCAAUGCGAGCAAUCGUGACCAGGGAANNCCAAGUGCAUCGGGUAAGACCGAUGCUUUUCUUGACUCUUCAACGGUCUUGGAAUAAGGGGUGGGUAAGGACGGUGCCAGCCGCCGCGGUAAUACCGGCGCCUCAAGUGGUAGUCGCUUUUAUUGGGCCUAAAACGUCCGUAGCCGGUUUGGUACAUUCGUGGGUAAAUCAAGGCGCUCAACGUCUUGAAUUCUGCGAGCACGGCCAGACUUGGGACCGGGUGAGGUGUGGGGUACUCUCAGGGUAGGGGUAAAAUCCUGUCAUCCUGAGAGGACCACCUGUUGCGAAGGCGCCACACUAGAACGAAUCCGACGGUCAGGGACGAAGCCUAGGGGCACGAACCGGAUUAGAUACCCGGGUAGUCCUAGGUGUAAACGCUGUGGACUUGAUGUUGGGAGUGCUCCGAGCACCCUCAGUGUCGAAGCGAAGGUGAUAAGUCCACUGCCUGGGGAGUACGGUCGCAAGGCUGAAACUUAAAGGAAUUGGCGGGGGAGCACUGCAACCUGAGGAUUGUGCGGUUUAAUUGGAUUCAACGCCGGAAAACUCACCAUAGCCGACGGACAAAUGAAAGCCAGCGUAACGAGCUUGCUGGAUUGUUCGAGAGGUAGUGCAUGGCCGUCGUCAGUUCGUACCGCAAGGCGUUCUGUUAAGUCAGAUAACGAACGAGACCCUCAUCCCUAUUUGCCAAGGUCUGUCCGCAGAUCAAGGGACUAUAGGGAGACCGCUGGCGCGAAGUCAGAGGAAGGCGAGGGCAACGGUAGGUCAGUAUGCUCCGAAUGCUAUGGGCUACACGCGCAAUACAAAGGACGGGACAAUGGGCUGCAACUCCGAGAGGAAAGACGCUACCCCGAAACCCGUUCGUAGUUCGGAUUGAGGGCUGUAACUCGCCCUCAUGAAGCUGGAUUAGGUAGUAAUCGCGUCUCAAAAAGGCGCGGUGAAUAUGCCCCUGCUCCUUGCACACACCGCCCGUCAAACCAUCUUAGUUGUGGGUGGGUGAGGCUACCUCUCUGUGUGGUAUUCGAGCCUGCC